rnacentral:misc_RNA from 1 species
UUGCCAUUUCAAUCCGCAUUCACUACUUUCUUGAAUGCCAAGUGACUAAAUUCCAGUAUCAGUUACAGCAAUAAUUAAAUGGAAAAGAAAUAAAUCAUUUAAACAUGCCCGCGUACAUAGAUCAAGAAAAUUACAAUUUGACACACACUAGAAGCACAACAACCACACUAAAGAUAAACCUACAAGAAGGCAAAUCUUCAUUACGGGUAAAAUGCUGUGGGGAAGAUGAUGCAAGGCUACCUUACCUUUACUUGACCACCGCGAAACAUGAAAUAAUCAAAUGCUCUGGCUGCCUUGAUCCUUUUCUGAAUUGCUAGUCUCUCCUCCUCAACUUCUUGAUUCUAUCACCUAGCUGCGGGAGUAUCUUGACAAGAAAACGAUCAACGCGUUUGUAAUACCACAUUCUCCAACGAGCCCAGAAUAUUAGGGGCCCAACAGUUAUUACCAAGCCGAAGAUGUAUCCAAAUUCAACGCUCAGGUAUUCCCAAUUGAUCGCUCGACCAUGUCUCGGAGGAACUUGAAUUAUGUGGCUAUUGUGUGUGCAAGCUUUUGACAACUGAGGCCCACAUAAUCCUUCAUUACCUCUGAAUGAAGUGCUCUCAAAUGUCAGGAAUUGAUUACCUGUUGGGAUGCUUCCAACUAAUUGAUUGUUUGAGAGGUUCAAAAAUGAAAGGAAUGUUAGGGCUACAAGCUCCUGAGGAAUUGUUCCACUCAACUGAUUAACUGAGAGGUCUAAGGACUCAAGCUGUGAUAAGUUGCCUAAAAAUGGUGGAAUUCGACCAGCGAGUGCAUUGUGGGACAAGUUGAGAACAUAGAGAGCAUUAAAAUUGCCAAUGACAUCUGGUAUUGGCCCUACAAAAUGGUUGUCAGAGAAGUCAAUGGACGUGAAAAUUGUUAGGAUCUUCAACAGCUCCAACUGGAGACCUUUGAUUGUAACUGUUAUUGAAUCUUGAUAAUACAGUUGACCAAGCCGUAGGACUGUGAAUUUCAGGUGAUCAUGGGUUUCAUUUCCAUCUCCCAUCAUUGCCUUCCAUUUAGAUAAGACACUAUUUGGCAGUCUACCACUAAAAUUGUUGGAAGCUAUGUCAACAAUCUGAAGUUUUGUCCAUUUGACAUCGAUCUGUGGACAUAAUAAGUUCCCAUAAAAAUUGUUAUUUCGCAGAACAAGAACUCGCAAACUGGACAUGUUCCUCAAAAGGCAUGGGAAAGCAUCAUUGAAUUUAUUGCUUCCAAGGUCUAAAACCUCUAACGUGGUGCAAUUGAUCAGAGAUUGUGGUACCUUCCCCUCCAAUAGAUUUCCACUCAUGUCUAGAGUUUUCAAAUUGCAAUUUUCCUGAAAAUUUUCAGGAAUAUUGCCACUGAACUUGUUUCUCCUUAAAUUCAGAACACCAAGAUUCUCACUCCUUUCAAUUAAACAGGCCGGUAUUGUAUCAUUCAACCCAUUGUCAGACAAGUCAAGAACUUGAAGAUUAGUAGCAUUGCAUAUCGACUUCGGUAUAACACCUGUAAGGCUAUUGUUUGAAAGGGAGAAAAAAAUAGCCACAGAAAGGUUAGUACCAAUGUUGUCUGGUAUGACAGAAGUAAAGUUAUUGCUCGAGUAAUCCACAUAAGUAAUGGUUGGUGGAAAAGUUGGAAUCCCCCCUUUGAGCCGGUUAUAAUGUAGGUCCAGGACAACAAGAUUGGGAGCAGAGUGAGGUUGUUCCAGAUCAUCCAAGAGAUUAUGUGAAAGAUUGAGAUAGAGGAGAGACCCAUUACCAACUUUCCAAAUCCAAUGAGGAACUACCCCAGUUAUUUGAUUGUCUGACAGGUCUAACAUGAUUAAUUUUGAUUGGUUGCUUAGAUCAGGAAACACACGCAGCUUGCAAGAAACCAAUUUUAAUGUGCUGAGCUGGGGAAAGGAAGAUGAGGUCGCAUUGCUAGCAUUUUCCACCGUCAAGUUGUUGUAUGAAAGAUCAAUCUUGGUGAGAUUACUAAGCUUCCGAAUCCCGUCUAGUUGUAUAGUGCCAUUGAAUUUGUUGGAUGAAAGUAUAAGGACGUUGAGUCUUUUGAUAUCAAACACUGAACUGGGAAUGGGCCCUUCUAGUUUGUUGCUACUCAAAUCCAGGGUAUCCAAUGAAGAAGAUGACGCAGUUGAGAACUCAGGAACUUGACCUGUAAAUUGGUUGAACGAAAGCUGAACCUUCUGCAGCGAUGGGAUUGCGAACAGAGAUGAGGGAAUGCUCCCAUUAAGUGAAUUAAACCUCAAGUCGAUAUAGAGAAGUUUGAAAAGGCCUUCAAAGUGAUUGGACGGAAUCUCACCAGACAAUUGGUUGUGAGAAAAGUCUAUAUACACGAGUUUCUUGGACUUGCCAAAUGAUGGGAUUGGACCACUGAACAUGUUGGAUGAGAAGUCUAAAUAGACGAGUUCAGUGAGAUUGGCUAUAGAUAUUGGAAUCGAUCCAUUGAAUUUGCAAGUUGCAAGCUCUAUUCUAGACAAAUUCCUAAGCGUACCAAUGGAAUCUGGCAGUCUCCCUGAAAAAUUUGUGUAGCUGAGCACCAAAUUCUUAAGAGAGGCAUUCUGCAAACCAUCUGGCAAGUAUCCCAAUAGAUCAUGGUUGUAUGAUAAGUCGAGAAUCUCUAGUGUUGAUACCUGGAAUACUUUUGGAGGAAAUUUUCCUUGCAAAUUGCAAUCGCUGAGGUGCAAGAUUUUCAAAUUGGAGAACUUUGCGAAGAAUUCUGGAACUGGGGCAGAAAAAUUGUUGCCGUCCAAACGAAUUACCGACAGAUACCGAAGCUGUGCAAGGGAAGAAUCAAUAGGGCCAGAAAGAAAACAGUUGGACAAGCUCAAUACUUGCAGAUUAGGCAGCGAAAACGCUAAGUCCUGGCACCACUCAUUCCCAUGUGAGGAUAUAUUUACACCAUCAAGAUAGAGUUCUAUCAGCCCGGUGAGAUUUGAAACUAGUGUUGCAAGAUUUGGGUUCUGAAGCUUCAGCGAGCGAUCUCCCGAGAAAUAGAGGUUAGAAGACAAAUCGAGUGUAACCAACGUUCUCAUGCGUGAAAUCGCAACUGGAAUUUGACCCACAAAACCAGCGUUAGACAAAUUCAGAGAAACCAAACGUGUAAGGUUGGCAAACCUGUCUGGCAGAGCUGUGCUGCAGUUGUUGAAAGACAAAUCUAGAUUCUGGAGAUAUUGAAGGCUAAAGAGUGCAUUUGAAUUCUGAAGUGCGCCGGAAAUUGAUUCGUUGCUUAAAUUGAGGUCAGUAACUUUACCACCCAGAUCACAACUUACACCGGCCCACUCACAGCAAUCUUCGUUGAAUUUCCAUGUCACCAGUUUUGUAGACUUGGAUUGAUUGAACGCGAGAGUGUUGCUUAAUUGGACCAACAAAGAUUGCUGAUCACUCUGGCAUAUGCCAGACACCAAAGCUACAUGGACAGCAAAUACCAGCGUUAAAACGGGCAGCUGUAGAAACCGCAUCAAGAAUGAAAUUUUCAUUUGGAGAGAAUUAGGAGACGCCCAUGUAAAUGAGAAUGAAAGAAGUGAUUAAUUUGAUCUUUGGGUUAUACAAAAGAAAAAUCAUGAACACGACCCUUUCUGGUUUGUUGGGUUGAAGUGGUGCAGAACCACAGAGCAGUGGGUUUGGCAAGGGACGGUGAGACCUGAGAAGAGGGGAGAGGUAGGAAGAGAAGGAAAAUUGAGAUAGUCAGAAAUGUAGGUGGAGAAACAUAAUAAUUUAUUAAUCUUUCUCUAAAAAUCAUUGGACGCGUUCCUUUGUCGGCUUCUCCUUGUAGACUUUUUCGUUCUGAAAGCUAAGAAAAUU